rnacentral:rRNA from 1 species
AACGAACGCUGGCGGCGCGCCUAAUACAUGCAAGUCGAGCGAGAAGACGUAGCAAUACGUUUGUAAAGCGGCGAACGGGUGAGGAAUACAUGGGUAACCUACCCUCGAGUGGGGAAUAACUAGCCGAAAGGUUAGCUAAUACCGCGUACGCUCCUUGGACUUCGGUUCAGGGAGGAAAGCGAUACCGUGGGUAUCGCGCUCUUGGAUGGGCUCAUGUCCUAUCAGCUUGUUGGUGAGGUAACGGCUCACCAAGGCUUCGACGGGCAGCUGUUCUGAGAGGACGAUCAGCCACACUGGCACUGCGACACGGGCCAGACUCCUACGGGAGGCAGCAGUAAGGAAUAUUGCGCAAGUGGGACGAAAGCCUGACGCAGCGACGCCGCGGUGGGGGAUGAAGGUC